rnacentral:rRNA from 1 species
AUUGAACGCUGGCGGCAGGCCUAACACAUGCAAGUCGAGCGCGAAAGUCUUCGGAUGAGUAAAGCGGCGAACGGGUGAGUAACGCGUGGGAAUCUGCCCAGUAGUGGGGGACAACAGCCGGAAACGGCUGCUAAUACCGCAUACGCCCUACGGGGGAAAGGGGGGGAUCUUCGGACCUCUCGCUAUUGGAUGAGCCCGCGUCGGAUUAGCUAGUUGGUGAGGUAAAGGCUCACCAAGGCGACGAUCCGUAACUGGUCUGAGAGGAUGAUCAGUCACACUGGAACUGAGACACGGUACAGACUCCUACGGGAGGCAGCAGUGGGGAAUAUUGGACAAUGGGGGCAACCCUGAUCCAGCCAUGCCGCGUGUGUGAAGAAGGCCCUAGGGUUGUAAAGCACUUUCAGUGGGGAGAAAAGUGAUUCACUUAAUACGUGAGUCAAUUGAUGUUACCCACAGAAGAAGCACCGGCUAACUCCGUGCCAGCAGCCGCAGUAA